AUAUAUAUAUAUAAUUGAGCUACUAUGCUUUUAAAAGUAUCAAAUUAUUGAUACUUGUAGAUUUCUAGCCAUUGGAUUAACGGAUGUGCGAUUAGAAUGAUGUGGGACUUCUAGAAUUAAGUAAGUGGUUGGUUGAAUAGUAUAAUCUAAUAGGCAAAAAAAUGAUCAAAAUGUUAGAUCUAAUGAUAAAAAAUUUACAAGUAUCAAAUGCUUGAUACUUUUACAAACACUAUAGCCGGACUAUAUAUAUAAAGAGAAAGUUGAGGUAGUAUAUAUUGAUAGUAUAUAAAUAAUAUUUAUUAUUUAUUUCUCUAACAUUAAAUUACUACUAUUCCAUCCGUACUAUCACUGAACCUUAAACAUUCAAUGGUAAAUAAUAGAUAGUGAAUACUAUUUUCUACCUGUUAAUAGUAUUAUAUAGAGAGAGUUGGACUAUAAUACUAUUAAUAGUGUGCAAAUAGUAUUUACUAUUAACUUUUUGAUCAUUGAAUGUCUUUAAUUUAGUGGGGGUUAGUAGAAUAGUAAUAAUCAAAGAGUGAAUAAAUUGAUAAUAAAUAUAUUUCAUAUACUAUUAAUAGUAUCACGGUGGCCUCACACUAUUAAGUCGUUUUUAAUGCUGAGACUUUUGAAUUGACGAUCGGUUCAAUUAGACUUGAUAUAGAGUGUUGCAGUAUCUAGAACAUAAAACUUUGCGGGCUUAAAAUCAACGACUUAAAACAAAAAUCUCAAAAAAAGUGAAACUAAAAUUUUUGAUCAGAAAUAUUGGUCAUGUUUUAUAUAAUAUAAAGAAUUUUUAUAAAAAUUUUACGUGAUUUGGAUAUUUCUACAGUGUUAACUUACAACUUGCUAAUUACGACCAUUAAAAUUAUUAAUUUUAGUUCUUUUCGAUCACUAGAAUGGAGCUAAUCGUCGAUUCGGAAGUCCCACUAUCGAAAACGAUUUGAUAUAUAUAUAUAUAGCUGGACUACUGUGCUCUCAUGAUCACGAAGGCCUCCGUGCUCCUGAGCCGUUUUUGAUGAUGAAAUUUUCGAAUCGACGAUCGGCUCCGUUAGACUUAAUCUAGCGUAUUUGAAGUUUCUACAAAAUAAUUUUUACGAUUUUUCGAUAUCAUUUACCUAGCAAUUGAAAGGAUUCAAAAUCAAUAAUUUUUAACGGCUGAAAAUAAAAAUUCUAUAAAAUGUGGUGAUAUAGCACUAAAAUUUUUGAUCAAAAAUAUUGAUCUUGUUGUAGAUAGUAUAAAGAAUUUUGUAUCAAAAUUUCAUCUGAUUUGAAUAUUUCUACACCGUUAAACUUGAAAACGGCAGAUAUCAGCCAUUAAAAAUUAUUGAUUUUGAAUCCUUUUGAUCACUAGGUAAAUGAUAUUAAAAAAUCACAAAAAUUAUUUUCUAGAAACUUCAAAUACCCUAGAUGAAGCCUACCGGAGCCGAUUGUCGAUUCGAAAAUUCCAUCAUCGAAAACGGCUCAGGAGCACAGAGGCCUCCGUGCUCC
rnacentral:lncRNA from 1 species